UACGGGGGGGGCAAGCGUUGUUCGGAAUUACUGGGCGUAAAGGGUUCGUAGGUGGCUUGCUAAGUCAGACGUGAAAUCCCUCAGCUUAACUGGGGAACUGCGUCUGAUACUGGCGAGCUUGAGUGCAGGAGAGGGAUGCGGAAUUCCAGGUGUAGCGGUGAAAUGCGUAGAUAUCUGGAGGAACACCGGUGGCGAAGGCGGCAUCCUGGACCGGUAUUGACACUGAGGCGCGAAAGCCAGGGGAGCAAACGGG
rnacentral:rRNA from 1 species